AGCUUUGCGCAGUGGCAGUAUUGUAGUCAAUGAGGUUUAUCCGAGGCACGAUUAUUGCUAGUUGAAAAUAUGAACUAUGCAUUUAACUUCUCUUUAGGUACUCUUAAGAGUGUAAACUGUUUGCAAAUCUGUAUUUUAGA